GUAGUCUCGCACAGAUGCAUAUCAAUAAGCGGAGGAAAAGAAACUAACAAGGAUUCCCUCAGUAACGGCGAGUGAAGCGGGAAGAGCUCAAAUUUGAAAUCUUGAAAGGUCACCUUUCACGAAUUGUAGUUUAAAGAAGUGUUUUCUGUACGAUCGUAAUAUAAGUUCUUUGGAAUAGGACAUCACAGAGGGUGAGAAUCCCGUCUAUGAUUGCGAUUUGUAGCUUUGUGAUACACUUUCAAAGAGUCGGGUUGUUUGGGAAUGCAGCCCAAAACGGGAGGUAAAUUUCUUCUAAGGCUAAAUAUUGGCGAGAGACCGAUAGCGAACAAGUACCGUGAGGGAAAGAUGAAAAGAACUUUGAAAAGAGAGUUAAAUAGUACGUGAAAUUGUCAAAAGGGAAGCGUUUAACACCAGUGUUGUUUUCUGAAAAUCAACCUCUGUUAGCUUUAUGCAUGUUUGUUUAGACCUAAUCAGCUAUCUUGCAUGUUCUAUUGUUUGCAGUGGUGCAACUUUUCAGUUUACAGGUCAACAUCAGUUUUUUUACCGUAAAAAAGUUAAAGAAAGGUAGCUCAUGGCUCCGGUCGUGAGUGUUAUAGUCUUUUUCCUAUGCGGUAGGAGAGACUGAGGUCUGCAGUGUAGGCUAUUUGGCUAGAUACUCAGGUGCUAUGUGAUACCAUUUCAUAAACAACUUGUUGAUUAUGUUUUGUCUAUUGCAUACUCGCUUGUACUAUCAUACCUACGCUUAGGAUGUUGAGUCGUAGAGCACGCA
rnacentral:rRNA from 1 species